AUUGAACGCUGGCGGCAUGCCUUACACAUGCAAGUCGAACGGCAGCACGGGGCAACCUGGUGGCGAGUGGCGAACGGGUGAGUAAUGCAUCGGAACGUACCUUUCAGUGGGGGAUAACGUAGCGAAAGUUACGCUAAUACCGCAUAUUCUGUGAGCAGGAAAGCAGGGGAUCGCAAGACCUUGCGCUGAUUGAGCGGCCGAUGUCAGAUUAGCGAGUUGGUGAGGUAAAGGCUCACCAAGGCGACGAUCUUUAGCGGGUCUGAGAGGAUGAUCAGCCACACUGGAACUGAGACACGGUCCAGACUCCUACGGGAGGCAGCAGUGGGGAAUUUUGGACAAUGGGGGCAACCCGGAUCCAGCCAUGCCGGGUGCGUGAAGAAGGCCUUCGGGUUGUAAAGCGCUUUCGGCCGGGAAGAAAUCGCACGGGCUAAUACCCUGUGUGGAUGACGGUACCGGAAUAAGAAGCACCGGCUAACUACGUGCCAGCCGCCGCGGUAACAC
rnacentral:rRNA from 1 species